rnacentral:rRNA from 1 species
AUACGGAGGGUGCGAGCGUUAAUCGGAAUUACGGGGCGUAAAGGGUACGUAGGCGGUUAUGUCAGUCAGAUGUGAAAGCCCCGGGCUUAACCUGGGAAUUGCAUUUGAUACUGCAUAGCUAGAGUUUGGUAGAGGGGAGAGGAAUUCCCGGUGUAGCGGUGAAAUGCGUAGAGAUCGGGAGGAACACCAGUGGCGAAGGCGGCUCUCUGGACCAAAACUGACGCUGAGGUGCGAAAGCGUGGGUAGCAAACAGGAUUAGAUACCCCGGUAGUCC